GGGUGGUACCGUGGGCAGCCUGACGUGCCGCUUCGGUGGCGUUCGGCCUCGGUCCGGGCUGAAGCGGGGAGGAAGGCGCGGCCUCAGCUUUCCCCAGCCGUCACUUUAAUGGUGUGACCCGCAAAAAGUGGGAGCUGGUGGGGGAAGGCCAGCGCGGCGUGGGGCAGCGGGGCAGCCCUCCGCCACCACGGGUUGAUAAGGUAUAUUUCCUACCCAGACAUACCCAUACCAGUAUUUUUGAGACACAGGGAAGGCUGGAAAUCAGCCCAACCAUCCCCAAGCUGAAAGCGAAGAAAGUAUUUUGUUGGUGGCAGCUCUUUUACCCUGAUUUGGCUCCUCUAAUUGCCACUGAAAAGACUUUAAUGGGAACAUGGCGUCAACCUCUCUGUUUUCGGUGCUUCAUGCCAAGCGGUUGCUAAUGCAUGUGUGCGUCCAGGUGAGCUUUUCCAGUGGGCCCAGUCAUACCUCAUGAGCUGAAGACGAGCAGACUUUUAAAUAUUCACCCUUGGAGCCCAGAAGGAAGCUUGCGACAUCGUCAUUGUACCGUAACGGGGCUCAGGGCUCUGAACAGACACAAAGCGUUGCACUGUGUGUAACAGGGUACUGCAUCAAGGAGUGGAAUCCUUACACCUGCCUACCACGUACCAAGCUCUGCCAUCCCUAACUCCAUUGGCUGAAGAACCCUGCGUAUGUGAAAAAUUUAGGUUCUGUGACUCAGUUCGGUGCUAUAAAUAAAUCCCACAGCUACAUUUCACAGUUAAA